AGCUUUUGCCAUGCUUGUAAGUGGGUGACCCUGCACCUGUCUGCUGCUAAUGGUGCUCAGCUGACAUUUGCUGAAUGAAUGAAGGAGCCAUCACACCAGUGCCAAAGGUCACAGCCUGCCCGCCCACAAAGAACAGAAUUGGAAAGAAGAGUGGCAUGGCAGACUGUAACCUCAGAUCCAGCUGAUUCUAGCAACUGCUCACCAAGCUAUUCCAAGAUGACCAUGUUCUCAAAGAUCACAGCUAGGAAGUUGCCCCCAGAAAAAUCCCUC